UACAGGUGUUGCAUGGCUGUCGUCAGCUCGUGUCGUGAGAUGUUCGGUUAAGUCCGCUAACGAGCGCAACCCUCGCCGUAUGUUACAAGUGUCAUACGGGACUGCCGGUAAAAAGCCGGAGGAAGGUGAGGAUGAUGUCAAGUCAGCAUGACCUUUAUAUCCAGGGCUACACACACGCUACAAUGGUCUGUACAAUUGGUUGCCAAGCCGCGAGGCGGAGCCAAUCCGUAAAGCAGGCCUCAGUUCAGAUUGCAGUCUGCAACUCGACUGCAUGAAGCCGGAGUUGCUAGUAACCGCAGGUCAGCAAUACUGCGGUGAAUACGUUCCCGGGUCUU
rnacentral:rRNA from 1 species